AAUUAAUGAACUUGAUCAAGUGUAUGUUUUGAAAGCAUAAAAAAGAGAUACUAAUUUUCUAUUAAUUU
rnacentral:tRNA from 1 species